GAUGAACGCUGGCGGCGUGCCUAAUACAUGCAAGUCGAGCGAACAGACGAGGAGCUUGCUCCUCUGACGUUAGCGGCGGACGGGUGAGUAACACGUGGAUAACCUACCUAUAAGACUGGGAUAACUUCGGGAAACCGGAGCUAAUACCGGAUAAUAUAUUGAACCGCAUGGUUCAAUAGUGAAAGACGGUUUUGCUGUCACUUAUCGAUGGAUCCGCGCCGCUUUAGCUAGUUGGUAAGGUAACGGCUUAUCAAGGCAACGAUGCGUAGCCGAGCUGAGAGGGUGAUCGGCCACACGGGAACUGAGACACGGUCCAGACGCCUACGGGAGGCAGCAGUAGGGAAUCUUCCGCAAUGGGCGAAAGCCUGACGGAGCAACGCCGCGUGAGUGAUGAAGGUCUUCGGAUCGUAAAACUCUGUUAUUAGGGAAGAACAAAUGUGUAAGUAACUAUGCACGUCUUGACGGUACCUAAUCAGAAAGCCACGGCUAACUACGUG
rnacentral:rRNA from 1 species